rnacentral:lncRNA from 1 species
CAAGGGGCCAGUGGGUGGAUGGGUAAAACCACCUGCUCCUCAAAACAGCCAGGCUCUGAGAUGAAGCAGGAAUCUACACUUAAACCGAGGCUGGAUCCAUCCUAGGGAUUCAAGCCUGUGAUGUCAAGAGAAAACAGAAAAGAGAAGGGAAUUCCACCUUUGCCCACUGAGAACACAUCUACGCUGAGAACACAUCUACCCAACUCCUCUGUCACAACCCCUGUGAGAAGGUUCUGCCAUCUCCCAGCCCUGAAGAUUGUGAGGUCAUCUGACCACCUAUUACAUUGCUAAACAUGGCAGGAUGUCACCUGACUCGACACUAAGCUGCCCAUCAAUCAUCACACCCCCUUUCUCCCACUUACUUUUCUAUCACCCCGUAGAUUCCCAACAGCUGUCCUUAAGUCCUCCAGGCUACAGAAACCACUCUUGAAACAAUGUCAGCGUACCAUUAGUGCCCUUUAACUCAUACCCUCACUUCCCAGCCCCUCCUCUGUGAACGAAGUCUCUCCUUACCUCUUGCUCCAGCACUAAUCAAUCUAAUGUUCCUUCACUCUUUUCUCCCCUCCCAGCUUCCCUCCAACCUGCACCCAAUCCCCCCAAAUCCUUUCUCCUCUUUCUUUGCAAUUCUCCACACCAAGACUGAACACUUGUCAGAAAUGGUGCUCCCCCUGGGCCCCUCCACACCUCCUGAAGCCCAAUCCCUGUCACUUCUUACCACCCCCAGCUCCCUGAUGGCCCUGGGCCUCCCUCCCGACAGCUGAGGCCCUUCCUGGAUCUCUACACGUCACCAAGCUAAGCCAGUGUUCCAAAAUAGUCUCCUGAACAAUGAUGACAACUGCACAGUUAUUUUGGAAGAACUUCCUGGCAGUGAUGGCAGUGGAACAUUGGAAACAGAGAUGAACAGGAGGUGGGAAGAGGAGGCUAAGUACAUGUAGGCCUAAAAGUCUCUGCUUUGGGAGAUUUUUAACAGUCCUGGAUGGAGAUGAGUGUCAAAGCUACUAUCUCUCUGGGAGGAUCAUGGCAGACAGGAGGCAGGUCUAGAUUGCAGUUCCCACUCAGAUGGACAGAGCAGCAUGUGGAGUAUUGCAUCACGAACUUUUGCUCCAGAAUGACUGCAGGAAGAAAUCAGGAAAGCCAAGAGAACCCACAGACCCUCUGAGGGAAGUGAAUUGCUCCUGCAGGGCCUUGGAAACACCCCAAAUACCCACCCAGAAGAAUCCUGUAUUUAAUUGGCUCAUAUGGAAAAUUUUAGAAAGAGAGAGACAUCGGGGCUCAGACUAUCUUCUGAUCAGGAACCAAAAUGAGCUGGGAGGUGUCCCUGAAUUCUGGCUCCCACUUC